AUACGGAGGGGGCUAGCGUUGUUCGGAAUUACUGGGCGUAAAGGGCGCGUAGGCGGAUUAUCAAGUCAGAGGUGAAAGGCCUGGGCUCAACCUGGGAACUGCCUUUGAAACUGAUAGUCUUGAGUCCGGAAGAGGAUGGCGGAAUUCCCAGUGUAGAGGUGAAAUUCGUAGAUAUUAGGAAGAACACCGGUGGCGAAGGCGGCCCACUGGUCCGGUACUGACGCUGAGGUGCGAAAGCGUGGGGAGCAAACAGGAUUAGAAACCCGGGUAGUCC
rnacentral:rRNA from 1 species